GAUGAAGAACGCAGCGAAAUGCGAUAAGUAAUGUGAAUUGCAGAAUUCAGUGAAUCAUCGAAUCUUUGAACGCACAUUGCGCCCGCUGGUAUUCCGGCGGGCAUGCCUGUUCGAGCGUCAUUUCAACCCUCAAGCUCUCCGGAGUUUGGUGUUGGGGCGCCUGGAGCUUUUCGACCUCAGGGCCCUCAAGUCCAUCGGCGGGACCGCCAGGACACUGAGCGCAGUAGUAUUAUUUCGCUCGGUAGGAUCUUCCACGGCGGGUCGAUCUGGCCGCUAAACCCCCCAAUUCUCACCAAAGGUUGACCUCGGAUCAGGUAGGAAUACCCGCUGAACUUAAGCAUAUCAAUAAGCGGAGGA
rnacentral:misc_RNA from 1 species